rnacentral:rRNA from 1 species
AGAGUUUGAUCCUGGCUCAGGAUGAACGCUGGCGGUAUGCCUAACACAUGCAAGUCGAACGAUGUCUUCGGACAUAGUGGCGGACGGGUGAGUAACGCGUGAGAAUCUGCCUCUAGGAUGGGGAUAACGGUUGGAAACGACCGCUAACACCCAAUAUGCCGUAAGGUGAAAAAUUUAUUGCCUGGAGAGGAGCUCGCGUCUGAUUAGCUAGUUGGUGGGGUAAGAGCUCACCAAGGCUUCGAUCAGUAGCUGGUCUGAGAGGAUGAGCAGCCACACUGGGACUGAGACACGGCCCAGACUCCUACGGGAGGCAGCAGUGGGGAAUUUUCCGCAAUGGGCGAAAGCCUGACGGAGCAAUACCGCGUGAGGGAGGAAUGCCUUUGGGUUGUAAACCUCUUUUCUCAGGGAAGAAGAUCUGACGGUACCUGAGGAAUAAGUAUCGGCUAACUCCGUGCCAGCAGCCGCGGUAAUACGGAGGAUGCAAGCGUUAUCCGGAAUCAUUGGGCGUAAAGCGUCCGCAGGUGGUUUCCAAAGUCUGCUGUUAAAGACUGGAGCUCAACUCCGGAACGGCGGUGGAAACUUGGAAACUAGAGUUCGGUAGGGGUAGCAGGAAUUCCCAGUGUAGCGGUGAAAUGCGUAGAUAUUGGGAAGAACAUCGGUGGCGAANGCGUGCUACUGGACCGUAACUGACACUCAGGGACGAAAGCUAGGGGAGCGAAAGGGAUUAGAUACCCCUGUAGUCCUAGCUGUAAACGAUGGAAACUAGGUGUGG